rnacentral:rRNA from 1 species
AUUGAACGCUGGCGGAAUGCUUUACACAUGCAAGUCGAACGGCAGCACGGGGGCAACCCUGGUGGCGAGUGGCGAACGGGUGAGUAAUACAUCGGAACGUGCCCGGUCGUGGGGGAUAACGUAGCGAAAGUUACGCUAAUACCGCAUACGAUCUGAGGAUGAAAGCGUGGGACCUUCGGGCCUCGCGCGAUCGGAGCGGCCGAUGUCAGAUUAGGUAGUUGGUGGGGUAAAGGCCUACCAAGCCGACGAUCUGUAGCUGGUCUGAGAGGACGACCAGCCACACUGGGACUGAGACACGGCCCAGACUCCUACGGGAGGCAGCAGUGGGGAAUUUUGGACAAUGGGCGCAAGCCUGAUCCAGCCAUUCCGCGUGCAGGACGAAGGCCUUCGGGUUGUAAACUGCUUUUGUAUGGAACGAAAAGGCUCUGGCUAAUACCUGGGGCUCAUGACGGUACCGUAAGAAUAAGCACCGGCUAACUACGUG